ACCAAUGUCUUUAACAGACACCCAGAGUCACGGCCGGCAGCCUAUCUGCCGUGCUGGCGCCAUGCCCCGCCCCUGGUACUGGCCCGCUCGUGCUCGCGGUAGUCUCACAGCAACGGAGCUUGCUCCAAUU
rnacentral:snoRNA from 1 species